rnacentral:rRNA from 1 species
AGAGGAGCCUGUUCUAUAAUCGAUAAUCCCCGAUAAACCUCACCACCUAUUGCCAAUACAGCCUAUAUACCACCGUCCAGCCCGCCCUUUAAAGGGUAAACAGCAGGCAUAAUUAUAAACAUAAAAACGUCAGGUCAAGGUGUAGCAGAUAAGGUGGAAAGAAAUGGGCUACAUUUUCUAACUUAGAAAACACGGAUGAUUCUAUGAAAUAGUUUCUGAAGGAGGAUUUAGCAGUAAAAAGAAAUAAGAGUGUUCUUUUUAAAACGGCAAUAAAGCGCGCACACACCGCCCGUCACCCUC